rnacentral:rRNA from 1 species
GAUGAACGCUAGCGGCAGGCUUAACACAUGCAAGUCGAGGGGUAACAGGGCUUCGGCCGCUGACGACCGGCAAACGGGUGCGGAACACGUACGCAACAUACCUUUAUCUGGGGCAUAGCCCGAAGAAAUUCGGAUUAACACCCCAUAAGAUUAUAGAGUGGCAUCACUUAGUAAUUAAAAUUUAAUUGGAUAGAGAUUGGCGUGCGUCCUAUUAGCUAGUUGGGCGGGGGUAAAGGACCCACCCAAGGCGGACGAUAGGUAGCUGAUGUGAGAGCAUGAUCAGCCACACGGGC